CAGCAAAGAAUAGUGAAAAAAGAUAGAAGAUGUAAGGUACUUUGGCUUACCACACUUAUAAACAAGAAGUGUGGUGGAAUGAAGUGUCUAAUGGGUUUUAAAGCCAAAUGUUCCUCAGAGGACACCAUUUCUGCAUGGUGACUGAAAGCACUAAGUGGUAUUACAUGGAGCAGAUAAAACUCCAAGAAAUACAAAGAAUUAUGUUUUGGUAUUACCGAUCAGAACCGUUAUUAUCUGUUCUUGACAUGGAUGCCAGGUUCCAUCGCUCUGAGCUUCACUUUCGAGCUAAGUUGCCAUCCAAGAGUUCAGAAAGUUGCAUCAUACAGAGCCAACACCCAGAUGUCAAAGGUUUCACCAUCAUCCAGUGUUUCCUCAGGGUCAUAAAGUUCAAGAACCGGAAAGCAUCAUCUAAUGCAUGCAUUCAAUUUCCUUGUUAUCUCAUAUGAUAGGCUUGUUUUAGAGUUUGUACAAAAUCAUAUUUAUUUUUAAUGAAACCCUGCCAUCUUAAACAAAGAUUACUGCAUGGCAUAAAUCUCACACAGCCAGUUCUUCAUUGCUCUGUAUCUGAUGAUGCUAUACAGAGUCUUAAAAAGAAGUAAUUAAUAAACACUCACUGGUUCACCUUAA